rnacentral:rRNA from 1 species
AUUGAACGCUGGCGGCAGGCCUAACACAUGCAAGUCGAGCGAGCGGCGGACGGGUGAGUAAUGUAUGGGGACUGCCCGAUAGAGGGGGAUAACUACUGGAAACGGUAGCUAAUACCGCAUACUAUCGGAUAACCCAUAUGGGAUUAGCUAGUAGGUGAGGUAAUGGCUCACCUAGGCGACGAUCCCUAGCUGGUCUGGGAGGAUGAUCAGCCACACGUGGACUGAGACACGGCCCAGACUCCGACGGAGGCAGCAGGGGGGAAUAUUGCACAAUGGGCGCAAGCCGGAUGCAGCCAUGCCGCGUGUAUGAAGAAGGCCUUCGGGGUGUAAAGUACUUGCAGUCGGGAGGCGUUACCCACAGAAGAAGCACCGGCUAACUCCGUGCCAGCAGCCGCGGUAAUUC